UAUACAUGCAAGUCGAGCGGGGUUAGAUUUUCAAUAUCCUUCGGGGUAGCGAUUUUCUAACCUAGCGGCGGACGGGUGAGUAACGCGUGGGCAACCUGCCCUAAAGCCUGGGAUAACAGCGGGAAACCGCUGCUAAUACCGGAUAUCUUUACGAAGAGGCAUCUUUUAGUAAAGAAAGGGAAUGAAUGCUUGCAUUCAUUUUACGCUUUAGGAUGGGCCCGCGUCCCAUUAGCUAGUUGGUGAGGUAACGGCUCACCAAGGCAACGAUGGGUAGCCGGCCUGAGAGGGUGGACGGCCACACUGGGACUGAGACACGGCCCAGACUCCUACGGGAGGCAGCAGUGGGGAAUAUUGCACAAUGGAGGGAACUCUGAUGCAGCGACGCCGCGUGAGUGAUGAAGGCUUUCGAGUCGUAAAACUCUGUCCUUGGGGACGAUAAUGACGGUACCCAAGGAGGAAGCCCCGGCUAACUACGUGCCAGCAGCCGCGGUAAUACGUAGGGGGCGAGCGUUGUCCGGAAUUAUUGGGCGUAAAGGGUUCGCAGGCGGCCGAUUAAGUCAGAUGUGAAAUCCCACGGCUUAACCGUGGUAAGCAUUUGAAACUGAUUGGCUUGAGUUAAGGAGAGGAAAGUGGAAUUCCUAGUGUAGC
rnacentral:rRNA from 1 species